AACGCGAAGAACCUUACCAGGGCUUGACAUGCACGGUGCAGCGCGAGAGAUCGCGUGUCCUUUGGGGUCGUGCACAGGUGGUGCAUGGUUGUCGUCAGCUCGUGUCGUGAGAUGUUGGGUUAAGUCCCGCAACGAGCGCAACCCUCGUCCUGUAUUGCCAGCAAGCGUCUUCGGGCGUGUUGGGGACUUGCGGGAGACUGCCGGGGUCAACUCGGAGGAAGGUGGGGACGACGUCAAAUCAUCAUGCCCCUUAUGUCCUGGGCUGCACGCAUGCUACAAUGGCCGGUACAGAGGGCUGCGAUGCCGUGAGGCGGAGCGAAUCCCGGAAAGCCGGUCUCAGUUCGGAUCGGGGUCUGCAACUCGACCCCGUGAAGUCGGAGUCGCUAGUAAUCGCAGAUCAGCAACGCUGCGGUGAAUACGUUCCCGGGCCUUGUACACACCGACGCAC
rnacentral:rRNA from 1 species